rnacentral:lncRNA from 1 species
GCCCGCCGUCCCCGGCGCGACCGGAGCGCCUGACGCUGGGGGGCCGUGUGGGCCCUGACUUCCGGAGGGCUGGGCCCUGGUCCUCCGCCACCGCGUGCGCCCCUUAAAGACCCCUGCCCGCCGCCCAGGACGGAUGGCGACCCCGGCCCUAGCCUGUCCCCAGACCCUGGACCAAGGCCCCGGCCCUGCCCCGAACCCCUCAUCCCACCCCCAGGACCCAGGCCCCGACCCUGGCCACCCAGGACACGCCCUGGCCCUUCCCCGAACUCCCACCCCACAGCUGGGAUCAAGGUCCCGGCCCUGCCCGGAACACCUCACCCCACACCCGGGACCCAGGCCCCGGCCCUGCCCCGAACUCCCACCCCACACCCGGGACCAAGGCCCCGGCCCUGCCCCGAACCCCUCACCCCACCCCCGGGACCAAGGCCCCGGCCCUGCCCAGAACUCCCACCCCACACCCGGGACCAAGGCCCCGGCCCUGCCCAGAACUCCCACCCCACACCCGGGACCAAGGCCCCGGCCCUGCCCCGAAGGCCCCACCGGGGACCCAGGCCCCGGCCCUGCCCCAAACUCCCACCCCACACCCGGGACCAAGGCCCCGGCCCUGCCCCGAACGCCCCACCCGGGACCCAGGCCCCGGCCCUGCCCCAAACUCCCACCCCACACCCGGGACCAAGGCCCCGGCACUGCCCCGAACGCCCCACCAGGGACCCAGGCCCCAGCCCUGUCCCGAACUCCCGCCCCACACCUGAGACGAAGGUCCCGGCCCCGAAGUCCCAACCCCACACCCGGGACCAAGGCCCCGGCACUGCCCCGAACCCCCGCCCCACACCCCUAACCAAGGCCUCGGCUCAGCCCCGGAAUCCCCAACCCCACACCUGGGAUCAAGGCCCCGGCCCUUCCCCAAACCCCCAACCCACACCCGGGACCAAAAGGCCCCGGCCCCACGUUUCCUAGAGGCGCUGGGUUCGGGCCCACGUUGCAACGAGUCAGAUGCUCUUGGUAGCUCAGGGAGGUGUUCACACUCCUGCCGUUUCCGUGAGGAUGGUGACGACUCCGAACUAUAGCAGCAUACUCUACCUACCCCUGAUCAGUUUAUGGAAGAAAAGGAAACCAAACAAAUGGUUUUGCCGUUGUUACUGCUCACCUGGUUUGAUUCAGUGGCGUCGCGGUUGGUCUCUGCUACAGUCCAUUACUCACAGUGCCAGCACAUGUUUCCUUAAAAAGCUUCAUCACCAUCCUCCUGCAAUGCGACCUUCACCGGCUCCCCGUUGCCUGCCCAGGAGGAUAAAGUCCAAGUUCUCCUGUGGAAAGAAGACCCUUCACACGCUAGUCCCAGCCUGUCUUCAGCCCAGCCCCCUGUGUUUCCUUUCCUGCCUUAUCCUAAGACAUCCUUACCUUCCAAUCACACUCACUUUCCGAGCAUUUUUGAAGGUAUUGAGGGAGUUGAUGAGUCUACACUUGAAUAAAAUACAGACUUUACACUCCAGACUGCACAGUUGACAGGUGAGAAGCAGAGGUUGACCUAAACACUGCAGAGAAUGUUGGAUGGAAAGUUGGGACUUAAAAUCUUGAUUUGGCAAAAUCACAGACUCAGCUGGAGAGAUCUAGAUUUAUUACAAGAAGUCCAUGAUGGAGACAGCUCAGGAAUGGAAGAGACUCAAGCCCAAAGAUCAGAAGAACCUCUGUCCUGGAAGUCGGUUCUCUUUCCAAUGGAACAGCCUCUGCAAAGUGUACCACACGAUGAGUUAAUAUAUCUCACUUUUAGAAAGAAAGAUACUGAUAUGCCACUGAUGUGGUUUGGAUGUGCGUCCCUCCACCCCCACCCACAGUCCCAUGCUAGAAGUGUCACUCAUAUUCAGCUUUGAAUCAGUGGGGAACCCAUACAGGAAGAUCAUAAUAAAUAUGGAAAAUUCUGAUAAUUUUGUGAUUCCAUGAGAUAAGAAAAGAACUUCCCUCUCCUGGAAAUCUCACUCUGAGGGGAGCCAGCUGACAUAUCUUAGGCCUCCCUGCACCCCUGGGAGAGGCCCACAUGGAGAGGAGCCCACAGCCAAGGAGGCCUUUUGGAACUGGGCCCUCCAGCCUCACUCCAGCUUUCAGAUGAUCACAGUCCAAGCUGACUUCUUUUUUUUUUUUUUUUUUUGAGACAGAGUCUCACUCUGUCACCCAGGCUGGAGUGCAGUGGCAUGGUCUCGGCUCACUGCAGCUUCUGCCUCCUGGGUUCAAGAGAUUCUCCUGCCUUGGCCUCCCAAGUAGCUGGGAUUACAGGCACACACCACCACCCCUGGCUGAUUUUUGUAAUUUUAGCAGAGACAGGGUUUCGUCAUGUUGCCCAGGUUGGUCUUGAACUCCUGACCUCAGGUGAUCUGCCUACCUCGGCCUUCCAAAGUGCUGGGAUUACAGGCAUGAGCCACCGCACCUGGCCUCACAAGUCCUUUCUGAAACCACAGAUGGGCACUUUGCCUGCUGUGUGUUAUUCUGGGACUUCAGCAGCCUCCCUCCUCCUGUCACCUCCAUCCAUCUGUGGGAUGCACAUGGAGCCUCUUCACAGGACAGCAAGCAUUUGAACAUAGCAGGAGGAUGACCUGGGGCCAGGGUUUUUUGUUGUGUUUCAUUUUGUCUUUUCGAGACAGGGCCUCACUCUGUCACCCAGGCGGGAGUGCAGUGGUGCGAUCAUGGCUCACGGCAGCCUCAACCUCCUGGGCCCAGAUGAUCCUCCCACCUCAUCCUUUUGAGUAGCUGGGACCACAGGCAUGUGCCACCACAUAGGGCCAGUUUUCAGCCUCCAUUCUGAGUGGUUAUGAUUUCUGUUGAAUUCUUUUUCCAAGAGGUGAUUGGGUGAGCUAAGACUGACAUUAUAAAGUAUUUUUAAAACAAGGUUGUGAAGGAAGCAGUGAGCGGCGAGGGUGAUGGAGUGGAGGGAAGGUGCAGGGGGGCCCAGGUCAGGAGGGCCCGGGUCGGGAGGGCCCGGGGAGUGCAGCGGCAUUUCCGGGGUAAUUGUGUCUACUUCGCAGCUUUCUUGGUGGUGUCCACGUAAGCUCCACAACAUCAGAGCCGCUGCUUUAUCCCCAGCACCUGAUACAGGCACCAUUGAAGCUCACUGCAGCCUCAGCGGGAUGGGUGCCUUACAGCCCUACAGGGCUGCAGAAAAUACGGAAGAACAUGAAUAGCAUGAUUCAAAAAGAAAAAGCGGUCUUACUGGUGCAUAACAAAGGGAAUUAGGAAGAAAUGAACCAAAGACACCUUGAAUUUUGAGGUCAGACUUGUCUGUUUCUUUAGAAUUCGUGGUAAAGUACUGAACAUUGGCUGCAUAAAUUAUUUACAUACUUGUCACGGUGUAGCCGAGGACUAAAACUUCAACAUUCACCUGCUACCAACCUCCGAACAGUGGCUGUGUUUGUAUCAAGUUACCUGAAUGGUAGGUGGGGAAGUCCAAAUAUUCCUAGUAAGACAAUUGCAUUCAAGGCCUGGCUGGUGAAACCUGUUUCCUGGGAAGGUAGUUAGUUGGUUUUCACCACAGGGAGAACCUGGACAUCAUUCAACAUCAUCAGCCUGGGAUAUGGCUCCCAGAAGAGGUUGGAGGGGGGAUCUUGGAGCUGGCAGAUUUGGGUUUGCAUGUCAACCCCCAGCUCGCCCCUGCCCUGUCACCCCCAAGUCUCUGCUUCCCCAUCUGCAUGGGGACUGACCUCGCGUUGCAAUGCUGCUGUAGGUAUGAAGAAACAGCAUAGCCUAUGUGCCUGCCACUCAGCCAGCGCUGGGGAAACAGCACUCCUUUCCUGCCAGCGCCAGUGCCAGGGCAAACUCCAGCUGUGGGCAUCUGCUGUCAGCCCCACGCGUGUCUGGGCGUUGCCCCCGCCCUGCCUUGGUGUCUGCCCGUGACUCACUUUUCCUGCUGCCUUCAGCUUUGAGUUCCUGUUUCCCAUCUUGAAGUCCUGGCCCUAAGUUCUAGUUUCUGUUUCUGGUGUUCUUUGAUUUCUAAUUAAAUCCAGUCCCUAAAUGGUUGGCUCAAGUCGGCGUCUAAAGGCGAUUCUCUGACACUGUGAAUCUCAGGAGUGCAUUACAGUCCAAGUCGUACUUAGAAUUAGUGGCCAGUAAAUUGCUGAUAGUCUUUAACAAAUGUUAGCAAUUUGGAAUUCAAGAAGUGCUUGUUGAUACUUGUGUUUAUGGAUUUUAAAAUGUUUCCAAUUUUUUACGUAUUACAAAAAAUAUAAGCAUAGAUUGUAACCACGUUUAUAAUUCAUAUUUUAUAAAUGUAUUUUUAAAAAUAAAGACAUUUUUAAGGCUGGGCA